ACGAAGACCAUCCCAACAUCGUUGGUUCAGAAAUGGAAAACACACGGUGGGAGCCUAGGAUGACAUCGCACUUAACCACAGAAGAAAGAGAUAGAGAUGAAGAUGAAGACGGGGGUGGAGAUAAAGAUGAAGAAGAUGGUCGAGGUGAAGAUGAAGAAGACGAAGAUAAUGAUUACGACCAAUAGGAGGAGUUUACACCUUAAGUUGUAUGUAGAAAUCCUACUUGCAACCGUUAGCCACCACCUUGUAGCACAUAUUAGGCCUAACGACGUCGAUGAUUUAUUUUUCAUUUACUUUUUGUGAUGCAAAUAUAAUCGAUAUCAAUAAAAUAUGAUAAUUUUUUUUUAUA